UGCAACUGAACAAAGGGAUGUUCCAUACCGUAUGACAUCAUGCUCAGCAUAUAAGGGGCUGGGGGAAGAAGAAGGAAGGGGUGGAUGUUAGGAGUGAUGGCGUUUGUCUUCUCAAGCAACCGUUAGGCAUGAUGGAGCCCUGCUUUCCUGGAGAUGGCUGAACACCUGCCUGCCCAUGGGAAGCGAAUCCUUCAUCCGGCACAAGAGAAGAUGACGACACAGUACAGGCUAAGGCACUGAAGCUGAAGACACCCUGAGUGCUUGCAUGGAGCAGGGAGGAACCAGCUUCCACAGGGUGGGGAACCAACCUUUCCUCCCAGACACAGAUGGUUUUGGAUAGUUAUGCAGAGUGUUGGACUGAUCUUUACAGUUCCAUAAGGAAGUCUCGUGGUUCAGCCUUUCAUGAGCUACUUGAUUCUAAACCUGUGAUUGUCACAGGCAUUUUUACUUGUAUGAUUUACCUUUUUAGUUUUGUUUACUUUAAAUGAUUCCACUCCUGAUUUUGAUUUCUGCUAUUCCUCUAUCAGAAAUUAUUUCAGAUUAAGUUACUCUGCUAGGCACUCCAGUAGUAUACAUAAGUUGCAGUCCAUGUUUGACAGGAAUCAUCUGGGACUAAAUGAAAGGUUUUGCAUCUGAAAAUAGUGCCUAAGAUGAGAAGACUUCUGACUCUCUGAAGAAUUGUCUAUCAAAGUUGUCAAGCGGUUAGAUCUGAUUUAUUUCUCAAAUACUAUCUUUAUGUGAAUUAACUGAAUUGCUUCACUAUUCAAAUUAUCCAAUGUCAUUUUAAGUUUAGUGAAGCACAUUAAUAAAUUGUUUGUGAAUAUGUCCUAAAUGAAAGUACGUCCAUCUAGCUGUUACAAAGUGGACCCACCUCUCGUCUUCUUCAUCCAGGUAUAUUUGCUCUCCUUUAAUGUUUAGCCUCUCUCUGAGUCCACAGGCCCAAAAUGCUUCAUUUGUAUUUUGGAGGACUCUGUUCUCAGAAACUGUGGGGUAACUGUGAUAGGAAAAGCAUAGUAAUCAAAAUUAAGUCUUACCACUACAGACAUAUCUUUAUGUUGUACUUUGUAUUGUCUAACUAUAAUGACAUUUGUACACAUUUACUGCGGGACUAUUGACUUUCCUCUCGCCAUCGAGCUCUGACAGGGUCCUGAGGGCACUAAUAGGCUUUAACAGCCCUGCCCAGCCUCACAUGGGACCCCCCCUCCUGCCCACGGCCCCUGCCCUUGCCUGAGCUGCGCUGCAGGCGUGUUAAUCUCCAGCCCCAUCUCCUGCUCCUGGGGGGAUCUGGGACCCGGGACCCGCUUCACCACCUUGCCAUGUCCAGGACCCUGCUACCAGCCCCCAGUCACCAACCACCGGUCAUUACACGGGCCUUCACAGCAGAAACUUGUGAACAGACUUGUGGGUGUCUGAGCCAGCAAUCUUUUAACUUGUACAAUUCUGCAUCCAUAUAACAUGUUCCUGGUCUAUACGAUUCUCCUAACAUGCACAGUCUCUGGCAGAAUGUAAACCAGACUAUGGAUUUUCUUGUUUAAACUGCUCUUGAGCAAAUUGUUACUUUAUGAAGGGCUUUUGAUGCAUCUAGGUGCAAAAGAUAUGCAGAGAAAUGAGUUUUCAUCUGUCCAGAAACCCUCACUGCUUUUGAAGAUGGGGCCCAUAUUACAGAGAUGUAGGAAAUUGAAGGACUUUGUUCAGGAGCUUGAAUACGCAGUUGCUGUUUUACCUACUGCUUUGUUUACUUACAUGCUCAUGUACAUGCAGCCAGGUCUAUCAGCUAUUAAAAAAUAUUCUUAUUUAUCUUCUGCCAUCUAUCACCUCUUUCUUCUUUGUGUUCAGGCUACUCUAAAUAAUAGAUGGAAUAACAUUAAACUAUUUUGUAGGGAUGCUUUCCUUGUCAGAAAUAGGAGCAAAUUCUUUGCUUGCCGUACAAGGGUUUGUUUGCCACUUGUAGCAGCAUUGCACCUAUGAGCCACAUGAAAGAAAAAGACAUGUUUCUGCCAAAAAUACAGGGACACCCCCCCCUUCCCCCAACGUAUGCUAGUUUUUAUCAAUAUAUGUAUUAAUAACAUUUUAGUGGAAACAUUAGAUUUUCCAUUGAUUUAGUUAUAAAUUGCUACCUCCUAAUUUAUUGCUGACUGGGAAAACUUCAGCCUAAAAGAAUAAUGUAUCUCAGGUUGCUCUGUAAUAGAAAGUUCCCAGCCAUCUCAGGGCUGAAGAACAACAGUAAUCUGACAACCAAACAGCCCGGUGACGAGCAAAACCUGCUCCACGAGGAAGCUUGGUAAACCUUGGGAAAGGUUUAUAUGACAAAUCGCAGCAUUUCAGCUCACAGAAAAUUCAGCUUGUAGAGUGUCCUCGGGUACCCAUCGCAGUGCUUUCUCCAGAGAUGUUGAAGGGAGAUUGAAGACCUGUUUGGUUGUACCUUGUUUGUAUUGCAUUAAUCCCAUGCUUCAGGACACCAGUGGGAACAGGAAGAUUAUUCUUUUCUUUGUUUGACACUUACCCAGCUUUUCUUCUCCUUUGUCCUGCUUUUCUUCCUCUGAUGCACCAGAGGUGGUUGCAUCUGUGGACAGAACACUGUCUGGGGUGCAGGGGUGUGACCAACAACAGAAAAACAUUUCAAGGGCUUGGCUGGUAAAUACUGUUCAGAUGAUAAGAAUUAAGAGUAUUACUGAUUUAAAGUCAUAAAGGAUUUCUCUUCAUAUGAUAUAGGUACGCUUGGGAGAGGAGAUAAGAUCUUUUAAGAAAUAUCUUGCCCCAUUAUUUAAUAAAUUGCCUGCUAUUGUAGUCAUUUAUGAAAUUUGUAAUGCUGACUGCGCUCUUUCUGUGGCACGAUGUUUGGGAUUACGACGUGGCACGACGUAUGUUUGUUUUAGGGUAUUUGUGAGUGUUUUGUGGCAUGAGUAGGCUUUUUGGGAAUCAUUCUCAACUUGUCACUGAUUGUAUUACAGGAAGUUUUGAUUAAGUGAUGUAAGUGACCCUUCUCCAGGUC